UCUCGAUGCACUGCCAAACGCUGAGCAGUUAAAAAUGUAAAUCAUAGAAGAAUACGAAGCGCGAAAUCAAGUCAUCGUCAAUGAAUCAGGUUAUAAACACGCUGAUUGUCGUAAAAGGAAAACGCAAAAAGCUGAAAAGCAAAUAAUACCAAAGUUGAAAAUUUCUUCGCUGAUGUUGUUUAGUAUUCAUCUUCCAAGCCUUUUAGGAACGUAAAAGCAAAUCAGUGAUAUCUCGAUAGCGGAUGCACGUCACAGUUAUACAAGGAUGGCCGAAUACUAACAAAUUGAAUAUCCACAUAAAGUGACAUCAGGUUAGCCAACAAUGCAACAAGUACGAUCUUAAAACGAGCUUAUUAUCAGUAGCUAAGAUUGUAGAUAAAGGCUGUGAAGUCGUGUUCUGCUCAAGGAAAGCAUUCGUAAAGGACAUUAAGGGAAAUAUUAAGCUAACUGCUGAACGUCAAGGUGACUUAUUUAUUCUGAAAGAAUCCGGUGAACAAGCUAGUACAGUCUCGCAGACGAAAUACUCUGAUACUGAAAUCUGGCAUCAACGUCUUGGUCAUCUUAAUUUAAGAGAUUAUAUUUAAUGUAAAAAACUCAAGCGGUACCCGGAUUUAAAUUGAACAAUAAUUCCGAAUUUUCGAAUUGUGAAAUAUGUAUUACAUAGAAACUAACAAGUUUACCAUUUUCAUUUUGAGCUAACAAAUCAAAGCACCGUCUCGACAUCAUUUAGUCGAUCAAUGCGGGUAAGUUCAAUUUGAGUUGCGCAAUAUUCCAUGACGCUUAUCGAUGAUAAUUCAAGAUGGAGUCAAGUCUAUUUUCUAAUGAGUAAGGAUGAAG